rnacentral:lncRNA from 10 species
UGAAAGGCCAGCUGCCAGAAGCUUCUCACUCCGUGGAGACCUUGGAGUCGAGGAUGAAAUGUCUUACAACUGUGGGGAGACCUUGGCUUUUCCAAAGCCUACCAGGGUCCAGGACUUGGAAGCUAAGGCCCAGAGAGGAGGAGAAACUUGAUCAAAGUCAAUCAGACAAUGCAGAAUCGAGAAAAGUACCUGGACCUCUAUGCCCAUGCUUCUAGCAGCCAGCCUCCUAAAAUACCUCUAGUUGAAGCCAAAGUUAGAAUCCUUCUACGAAACUACAGGAUUAAAAUGGUGAUUUUCUGAAGCA